UAGGGAAUCUUCGGCAAUGGGGGGAACCCUGACCGAGCAACGCCGCGUGAGUGAAGAAGGUUUUCGGAUCGUAAAGCUCUGUUGUUAAGGAAGAACGAGUGUGAGAAUGGAAAGUUCAUACUGUGACGGUACUUAACCAGAAAGGGACGGCUAACUACGUGCCAGCAGCCGCGGUAAUACGUAGGUCCCGAGCGUUGUCCGGAUUUAUUGGGCGUAAAGCGAGCGCAGGCGGUUAGAUAAGUCUGAAGUUAAAGGCAGUGGCUCAACCAUUGUAGGCUUUGGAAACUGUUUAACUUGAGUGCAGAAGGGGAGAGUGGAAUUCCAUGGGUAGCGGUGAAAUGCGUAGAUAUAUGGAGAAACACCGGUGGCGAAAGCGACUCGCUGGUCUGUAACUGACGCUGAGGCUCGAAAGCGUGGGGAGCAAACAGG
rnacentral:rRNA from 1 species